rnacentral:rRNA from 1 species
CCUACGGGAGGCAGCAGUGGGGAAUAUUGGACAAUGGGGGAAACCCUGAUCCAGCCAUGCCGCGUGAGUGAUGAAGGCCUUCGGGUUGUAAAGCUCUUUUGGCGGGGACGAUGAUGACGGUACCCGCAGAAUAAGCCCCGGCUAACUUCGUGCCAGCAGCCGCGGUAAGACGAAGGGGGCUAGCGUUGUUCGGAAUUACUGGGCGUAAAGGGCGCGCAGGCGGUCUUGCAAGUCGGGCGUUAAAGACCUGGGCUUAACCCGGGGAAUGCGCUCGAUACUGCAAGGCUUGAGAUCGAGAGAGGAGAGUGGAAUUCCCAGUGUAGAGGUGAAAUUCGUAGAUAUUGGGAAGAACACCGGUGGCGAAGGCGGCUCUCUGGCUCGAUUCUGACGCUGAGGCGCGAAAGCGUGGGGAGCAAACAGGAUUAGAUACCCCUGUAGUC